rnacentral:rRNA from 1 species
UGGGGAAUAUUGCACAAUGGGCGAAAGCCUGAUGCAGCAACGCCGCGUGAGUGAUGAAGGCCUUCGGGUUGUAAAGCUCUGUCUUUUGGGACGAUAAUGACGGUACCAAAGGAGGAAGCCACGGCUAACUACGUGCCAGCAGCCGCGGUAAUACGUAGGUGGCAAGCGUUGUCCGGAUUUACUGGGCGUAAAGGAUGCGUAGGCGGAUUUUUAAGUGAGAUGUGAAAUACCCGGGCUUAACUUGGGUGCUGCAUUUCAAACUGGGAAUCUAGAGUGCGGGAGAGGAGAAUGGAAUUCCUAGUGUAGCGGUGAAAUGCGUAGAGAUUAGGAAGAACACCAGUGGCGAAGGCGAUUCUCUGGACCGUAGCUGACGCUGAGGCAUGAAAGCGUGGGUAGCAAACAGGAUUAGAUACCCUGGUAGUCCACGCCGUAAACGAUGAGUACUAGGUGUAGGAGGUAUCGACCCCUUCUGUGCCGCAGUUAACACAAUAAGUACUCCGCCUGGGAAGUACGAUCGCAAGAUUAAAACUCAAAUGAAUUGACGGGGUCAUA